GAGAGAGAGAAAAAAUAAAUAUUAUAUUAAAUUGUAGUCCUUCCAUUGUAAAAUAUAGGUCGUUGUCGUACUUUUCGAACUUUGACUAAGUUUAUAUAAAUACGCACCAGCAUAUGCAAUAUCACAUUCAUUUCAUUAAAUCCACCGUGUCUUGAAUUUAUAUUUAUUUGGUAUUGUAAGUAGAUAUUAUACAUUUUUCUACAAACUUGAUCAAAGUUGAAAUACUUAAAAAAAAAUAGAAUGACCUAAGUACAAUCUAGUCCACAUCUUGAAACAGAGAGAUUAAUUACCAUUAUUUUACGAGACCAUGUCGAGCCCAGGCAUGCAUCCAGACAUAUCCAGAGCAAACUUUGACACGGUCAAUCAAUAGAUAAAGUGCGUGAGCCACACAAAAGUCCUAAACAAUAAUCAUCACCCAUCACACACUAGCUAGUGCCGUCCAGAUUAAAUCACCAUCAAAUAGGUUAUUAGCAGCCAGCCAUCCAGGAACUCGUCCAUCCAUUCCAUGCACGCGCUUUGUGUGCGCGCUUGACUUGCUCUCUCCAUCCCUCUCUGCUCCCACCUGCGUAGUACAAACGUGCCAUCUCCAUCGGAGCCAGCUCCAUCUCCAUCUCCAUCUCCAUCUCCAUCCUCCUUCC
rnacentral:lncRNA from 1 species